ACCUCCCAAGUCAUCUGAGAGACGAUUAUGUGCCACUUAAUACUGGACGUGACAGUGGUGCAAAUUCUGUAUAUGACUAUGAGGCUGUCAGCUGGCUCCUCUUCGGUUGUAAAGAGAAAGCAAAUUUCCUCCGUUUGAUGUCAUCAGUGUCGGCCUUGAAUUCAUUGCAGUCAAUUGCAAACAAGCUCUGUGACUUCACAUCUGAAAUGAGUUCAGAGGAACUGGUUGCGUGGAUGUCACUCACGACAAAGACUGCCACAGCUAUACGCGGUGUUGGAUGUCGUCGGCGAAUUCUUAAGGAGACAAUCGUAGCAGAGGUCAAAAGGUCAUUCAAUGUGAAUGAAGAGCCUGGGCCUUUACAAAUGCUUCUGAUUCACUUCUACCUGAAAGUACCAUUAGUGGUGUACAUGGGUGAAAAGCAGUGUGUCUUCAAUGUCGUAGGAUUAUCAAAUGAAACACCAAUUAAGCUUCUCGUUGUCCCACUGACUUGGGCUUUCUUCACUUGGUGGGAAAAUGCGACAUGUGCCACUUAUCAGAAUCAGCGAAGAGAAAAAAAAGUCAAGGGAGGAAUGUGAGGCUAAUCAAGCCGACAUCUGUUCGACUCCUGAAGAAGAAUGCUGUAUUUGCUGCAUGUUUUGCAGGCAACAAUACCACAGUUCAUGUAUUUCAUUGAAUACACAGAGUUUUUUCAGCUGUGGCUGUGACAAACUUUGGCCACUCUCUCC